GCCACAUGGUUCCCUGUGCAGCGCCCCGUGGGUCCCAGCAGACACAGCACCAUAAUGGGAGACUUCUAGGCCGAGAGGGCAAAAGCUUCAAACAGCAGGCGGCAGCACCAGCUGUGUGGUGGCUGGGAGCUGGUCUAGCCUCCGCCUUCCUUCCAGAAGUCUCCCCAGCAUCCUCAACCAGGUCAGAUCCCCCAGCAUGACUCAACAUCCCUUCGACUUCCCUUCUGCAGCCCUGGCAGGAGCUGUGUUGCAGCGGUGCCUGUUGCAUGUGGAAGUCUCCCUUCAAGGUUUGCAUCAUGGAACUCACCUGGCCCAACCUCUCAGGGAGGAAAAUUCCAACCAGAGAGGUGCCCCAGGAGAAACUGAAGCUCUUCACCACGGUGGCUGUGGCUUUGUCAUGCUCAGCAGUUUCAGCUCCCACACUGCUUAGCCUCACUCGGACUCCGGGAUGCUGUGCAGGAAAUUUCCCAGUGGCUCCAGCCUCGGGAUCCUGCAACCUGAACACCUACUGGCUUCUUGGGGUCAUCCA
rnacentral:lncRNA from 1 species